rnacentral:rRNA from 1 species
GGGAACGCGAAGAACCUUACCUGGUCUUGACAUAGUAAGAACUUUCCAGAGAUGGAUUGGUGCCUUCGGGAACUUACAUACAGGUGCUGCAUGGCUGUCGUCAACUCGUGUCGUGAGAUGCUGGGUUAAGUCCCGCAACGAACGCAACCCUUUUCCUUAUUUGCCAGCGGGUUAAGCCGGGAACUUUAAGGAUACUGCCAGUGACAAACUGGAGGAAGGCGGGGACGACGUCAAGUCAUGAUGGCCCUUACGACCAGGGCUACACACGUGCUACAAUGGUCGGUACAAAGGGUUGCUACCUAGCGAUAGGAUGCUAAUCUCAAAAAGCCGAUCGUAGUCCGGAUUGGAGUCUGCAACUCGACUCCAUGAAGUCGGAAUCGCUAGUAAUCG